rnacentral:rRNA from 1 species
AACGAACGCUGGCGGCAUGCCUAACACAUGCAAGUCGAACGAGACCUUCGGGUCUAGUGGCGCACGGGUGCGUAACGCGUGGGAACCUGCCCUUCGGUUCGGAAUAACUCCCCGAAAGGGGUGCUAAUACCGGCUAAUGUCUUCGGCCCAAAGAUUUCUCGCCUUUGGAUGGGCCCGCGUUGGAUUAGCUAGUUGGUAGGGUAAAAGCCUACCAAGGCGACGAUCCAUAGCUGGUCUGAGAGGAUGAUCAGCCACACUGGGACUGAGACACGGCCCAGACUCCUACGGGAGGCAGCAGUGGGGAAUAUUGGACAAUGGGCGAAAGCCUGAUCCAGCAAUGCCGCGUGAGUGAUGAAGGCCUGAGGGUUGUAAAGCUCUUUUACCCGGGAUGAUAAUGACAGUACCGGGAGAAUAAGCUCCGGCUAACUCCGUG